UGAUGAUGAUGACGAUGAUGAUGAUGAUGAUGAUGAUGCAAAGGAUAUAUUAUGUGCCAUCAUCAUAAUAUUAAACAUCACACCAUCAUCAUCCUCUCCAUCAUCAUGCUAU
rnacentral:miRNA from 1 species